GAUUAAUAUGCGACGAAUAAUCACGAAUCCCAGCGCCUUCCCAGCCCAUCCACUCCUCCCACAUGUCCCAAUCUGGAUCGUACAUUCCUCUCAUCUGCUCAUCGUCCUCAUCGCCACCGUACAUUCUCCUCUCGUUAUUCUCCGCGGCCUCCUCUUCUUCUCGUAACCUAUUCAUCAAAGCCUCGUACGCUUCGUUUAUUUGAUGAAACUGGACCCCACAGUUGUUCCCCCUACACACAUCCGGAUGAUACUGCGACACAAAAUAAAUCGUAACCGUUAUAAAUAAUACACAAAUCCGUGAAUGACACGAAAUAAAAAUUAGUCAAAUUAAUCAGAAAUUAAUCAAAUAAUUAAUUGAAUAAUCAAAGAUUCAACCUAUUCCACAAAAUCACCAAUUUUUAGAACAAUGAUCAAGAACAUUAAUUUAGACAAAUUAAUACACAAAUCCGUGAAGACACGAAAUAAAAAUUAGUCAAAUUAAUCAGAGAUUAAUCAAAUGAUUAAUUGAAUAAUCGAAGAUUUAACCGAUUCCACAAAAACAAAUUGAACAAUGAUCGAGAACAUUAAUUUGGACAAAAUUAUUCAUUUAUCGAGAUUUAUUGAAAAACAAAAUUAUUUAUUUAUCGAGAAUUUAAUAUGUACCUGCAGUGCGAGGCGUCGGAAGGCUUUUUUGACUUCGGAUUCGGAGGCACCGGGAUGAACGUUGAGAGUUUUGUAAGGAUCAGAAGAAACGGGGCUAUACAUGGAAUUAACCUUGAAUCGAUUAUUCUUCUUUUUUCUCGCUAAAUCUCUCUGAAACGAAUUCGAUCUCGAUGAGCACGAGCCACUGCCGCCUAAUAAUCCCCCAACAGCUGCCAUUUUUUCUUAAAUCGAAGAUAAAUUGUGUCUAUAAUUUUGUAUGUGUGUAUAUUAGUUGUGGAUUGGAUAAGCGAGUUUUGAGGAGAGGUUGAAAUGAAUAUAGAGAUUGGAUAGGAAGGUGGGUGUAUAUAUAGAGAGAGAUGUGGGGAGAGAGAUUGGGAGAGAGAGAGAUUAGACGGAAGCUGUGGGUUAAGGAGAUAAAAGCGAAUGUCAUUAUCCAUUGGCCGUGAGAAAGUCUAUCUUAUCCGACCCCUUGCUUUGAGUUUGGUCCUAGUCAUGCUUUUUUAACUUUUCUUUAUCCUUUCGAAUAUUCCGGAUUUUAAUUUAAUUUGAAAAUUAUUGUUUGUUGCUUAAUUAUUGUUUUUCUUGUCCUUUUUAUUUCAGCGUACCUCCUAUCGUCGGUGGCUAGUAGAUAUUUCUGGAUCAAAAUUUACAGUCAUAUGUUCAUUCAUAAAGCUAGUGGUGACAAUCAAAAUGAAAAAGAGCGAGUAUUUUACUUUUUAUAAAUAGGUUUAUGACUGAAAUACAAUUUUUUAAAUUUUUCUACAUUUAAGUUCUAUACCUCUGAGUUUCUGACUUGAUUUUGGAAAAAACUACUACUAUAAUUUCGAUGAUUAGCUGUGUAAAAUACAUAGAAAAAAUAUUAAAAAUUAGAUUACUUGCGGUGAGAAAUCAUAUGACUUGACGUGGCGCCACGAUAUAGUUGGCACGUAUUUCAAUGAACGAAAAGUUGGAGUCAUUUCCAAAGAUUAAACUGAAUUAAUUAUCCCUAUAAAUUUUUGAAAACAAAAGAAUAGUCUGACAAAAAAAUGAAGGAGAGUCCUUUUAAUUGUAAAUGAUCAUCUGGAUAAGAGCAUAGACACGUGUACCACAUGUAGUGGAGCGCUUCUUUCAAAGCUGCCGGGUAAACAGUACACACGAGAUCUACUUUAUUUCGUUUAUGUUGAACACGGGUAAUUCUAUUACACACGGUUUCGAGUUUAUUUAUUUGACCGUUCGCUGUUGAAAUGUAGCCGGAUCUCGUUUUAAUAUUCUCCAAGAUUCUUUCCAGGGAAGUAUGAUCAUUCGUUUAUAUAUUUCUCUGUCAAAUGUGAGUCAUCUGUGAUUCGAUUAGGAGCAUCUCCACCAUGAAGACCCCUUAGCUAAAAUUUUAAUUAUCAUAUCAAAAAUAAAAAUUAUAGCUAAUGGCUUCAAAAAUUUAAACUCCAACCAUCCCCACCUGUUAUCUAUAAUUAUAGUCAACCUGCUAUGGAUGACUAUAUUUGUCGAUCCACUACAGGUCUGUAAGAAAAUUUGUAGAAUAUUACACAUCACUUAUUACCAUAUCAAAGUCAUAUAUUCUAUUUAUAACAAUCGAAAAUAUUAAUAACAUACUAUUUUUAAAUUACAGCCAACCAAUAUAGUCAUAACCAUCGAAGCAAAAUGUCUUACGGGUUCAGCAAAUUUUACAUAAUAUUUUACCGGUCCAAUUUAGCCAACCAUUACAGCCAACGCCGUUCGAGAUGCUCUAAUGAUUAAACAUGGUUAAUUCAUUUUGUUUUUCGAGUAUACUACUUCCUCAAUUUUAUUGAACUAGCUGAGAAGCCGUGCGUUGCGGCGGUNUAUUGAGCUAAUACAUGAAUCAAAAAUUCCCAUUUUCAAAAUACACAAACAAGUUUCCUUAUACUGGGGCGUGAAAUAUAAAUUAGAAUCAAGUUAAAAUUUAUAAAUGAUUAAAAUGUUUGAGAAAUAAGUAGAAAUCAUGAAACAAAAACUAAAAUAAGUGUUUAUAAUUUAUAAAUCAAGUCGGCUUUUAAGCCAUGACCAAACACCAUCUACAACAGGAAUUUUAGUGGGGAUUUAGAUCAUGAUGAUCACAACUCAUCGAAGGAAGAAAUUGCAAACAUAACUUGGCAAAACAACAUUAAAAUAUUGAGCCAAGCGUGAGCCAAGCGUAUAACAACAUUUGGAUUCAACUUAUUAGAAUGUACAUACACCGGAAACAAACACAACGCCCUAAACUCAUCAAAUCAAUCUUCAUAAACCGCGAUUGAUCUGACGUCAACUUCAACUGGGCGGUCGGUUCCAAUAAACUCAACUCAAACCCCACCUUAAAUUAAAACAAACCAUGAUAAUUACGACAAUUGAUGAAAAUCAAAUGUAAGGAUUAAUAUGCGACGAAUAAUCACGAAUCCCAGCGCCUUCCCAGCCCAUCCACUCCUCCCACAUGUCCCAAUCUGGAUCGUACAUUCCUCUCAUCUGCUCAUCGUCCUCAUCGCCACCGUACAUUCUCCUCUCGUUAUUCUCCGCGGCCUCCUCUUCUUCUCGUAACCUAUUCAUCAAAGCCUCGUACGCUUCGUUUAUUUGAUG
rnacentral:lncRNA from 1 species